UCAAACUUGGUCAUUUAGAGGAAGUAAAAGUCGUAACAAGGUUUCCGUAGGUAAGUAGUUAAGAAGCGUUACACCCCCAUAAGUUGUUUGGCCGACGUGCUAACUUUUACAGGUGAACCUGCGGAAGGAUCAUUACUGAGUGUAACCUUCUUUUUAAGAGGGUACCUCCCGUCCUUUGCAGGCCCGUAGGGGCUUUUUGACUUUGCUUCGGCGGGGUUACCCCGCCGGAACACCUUCAAGAAAAUCUCAUUUUAAAACCGUUCAGUCCGAGGGCUUUUAUAAAUUAAAACUUUCAACAACGGAUCUCUUGGUUCUGGCAUCGAUGAAGAACGCAGC
rnacentral:misc_RNA from 1 species